AAAUAUCCACCGAGGAAUACCAUGAGAGCUGCCAGAGAGGCUGCCGUGCUGUUCUCUGAGAAGCCUGUUUCAAAAUGUUGAAUGUUUCUUAAAUGAGAAGUCUUUGGGAAUUGGGCAGCCAGAGCCUUCACAACUAAUGGCCUUCCCAGCACCUCUGCAAAACAGAUGUCUUCCACCAUGUUGUCCUGUUUCACCUUGAGCCCCAGGACUGGAGCCAGCCUUCCGUGGACUAAGAUCUCUGAAACUCGUCAUCCCAGGACUGCUCUUCACCAUGGUGCUGGGAAAACCCUUUCCCAUUUUGCCCUCUUGGAAAUCCUGUUUUCUGGACCACAAGCCUCUUUUUUCUUGGUUUAUUCCCUUCUUUCCUUGGAUCUCACACUCUAGUGGGCCUAAGAAGGGGGAUUGAGGGUAAAUUGCUUGAUUCUUACUGUUAUAGUUAAAGCUUCAUCCCCGGGUUUCAUAAAUUGACUUCCAGACCACUCACGUAUAAUUGAAUCAAGCCUUUAUUGAAGCACACCGGUGGCGGCUGACCAGAACAUAAAGCUGUUCCCCUGAUCAGCCCCGAACAAUUGCAAGGGCGCUCUUUAUAAGUCUGAAAACCGCAAAAGGGAUGUUCGGGGGGGCUAGCCAAUGCAAGCAAGCCAGGUUACAGAAGCAGGACAGUGCAGUCAAGCGGAGGGAAGCCUAACCAAUCACAGUUAGCCCAGUCACCCCAGUUACAGAAACAAUGCUCCAUUAGGUAGUUCCGUGUUCUUAAAGGUUUCUAUAGCAAAAGGAAAAGAACAUCUUGCUCCAGUCAUGACUCUUCUACUUGGCAUGGUUGUUUUACAGGAUGAAGUCACAAAACAAAAUGGAGUCACAUUUGCUCCUACUAUCACAUUACAAGUCUCAUCAUAACAGACUCUACUUUUUUACAUAGCUGAGAAAAAUCACCUGGGAAAAAUCUUCCCUCAGCAUUUUUAAGGAAUUAUUCUAUCAUUUUCUAGCUUUCAGUGCUAUUGUUGAAACAUCCAAUGUUAUUUUAAUUUCUGAUUUUUUUUUUUUUGGUGGUGGUGCUGAGGUUUGAACCCAGGGCCUCAUGCAUUCCAGGCAAAUGUUCUACCAUUGAGCCACAUCCCCAGUCCCACAGAUUCUUUUUUUCCCUCUGUAUUUAUUGCCCCCAAAUGAUGACCUUUUGUUUAAUGUAUUAAAUCUUUUCUUCUGCACAAUCAUGUCCUUAAAUUCUGAGAAUAUUUUUGAAUAGCUUAUCUGAUUAAUUUCCACUCCUGAAUUAUUGUAAUUGUGGGCUGGAACUCUUAAUUUUUAAAUAAUUUUUUUAUUGAUUUACAUCUAUUCAUUUUCUUUUAUAAAUUUUAAUUUCUUCUACUUUACU